rnacentral:rRNA from 1 species
GAUAAGGUUAAGUGAAUAAGGGCGCACGGUGGAUGCCUUGGCACUAGGAGCCGAUGAAGGACGGGACUAACACCGAUAUGCUUUGGGGAGCUGUAAGUAAGCUAUGAUCCAGAGAUUUCCGAAUGGGGGAACCCAAUAUCUUUUAUAGGAUAUUACUUUUCAGUGAAUACAUAGCUGAUUAGAGGUAGACGCAGAGAACUGAAACAUCUUAGUACCUGCAGGAAGAGAAAGAAAAUUCGAUUCCCUGAGUAGCGGCGAGCGAAACGGGAAGAGCCCAAACCAACAAGCUUGCUUGUUGGGGUUGUAGGACUCCAAUAUGGUAGUCUGUUAGUAUAGUUGAAGGAUUUGGAAAAUUCCGCUAAAGAGGGUGAAAGCCCCGUAGACGAAAUGCUGACAACACCUAGGAGGAUCCUGAGUACGGCGGAACACGAGAAAUUCCGUCGGAAUCCGCGGGGACCAUCCCGCAAGGCUAAAUACUCCCUAGUGACCGAUAGUGAACCAGUACCGUGAGGGAAAGGUGAAAAGCACCCCGGAAGGGGAGUGAAAUAGAUCCUGAAACCGUGUGCCUACAACAAGUCAAAGCUCGUUAAUGAGUGAUGGCGUGCCUUUUGUAGAAUGAACCGGCGAGUUACGAUUGCAUGCGAGGUUAAGUCGAAGAGACGGAGCCGCAGCGAAA